rnacentral:lncRNA from 1 species
GGCAUAUUGGGGCUUAUGGACUCUUUAUGUGACUGGUGCUGGCCCUUUAAACACCUUUUUUUGGGACAUCAGGCAGAUUGGGACACUGCCCCUUUAAGGCCGUGUCCCCAGACUUGUUGGGGACACGGCCCCUUUAAGACGGUGUCCCCUGUGUCCCAGACCUGGUGCAAACCCUUUGUGCCUGCCUUGCUAUUUCCCACUUGGUUCAGUAAAUGGGAAAUUAUUUCAGCUGCAGAGACUAAGUC